ACAGCAGCCGCCGCGGUAAUACGUAGGUGGCAAGCGUUGUCCGGAAUUAUUGGGCGUAAAGGGCUCGCAGGCGGUUUCUUAAGUCUGAUGUGAAAGCCCCCGGCUCAACCGGGGAGGGUCAUUGGAAACUGGGAAACUUGAGUGCAGAAGAGGAGAGUGGAAUUCCACGUGUAGCGGUGAAAUGCGUAGAGAUGUGGAGGAACACCAGUGGCGAAGGCGACUCUCUGGUCUGUAACUGACGCUCAUGCACGAAAGCGUGGGGAGCAAACAGGAUUAGAUACCCCUGUAGUCCCUGUCUCUUAUAC
rnacentral:rRNA from 1 species